rnacentral:lncRNA from 1 species
UGGGACUAAAUCCUGAUUUCUAGGGAGGGCCUGGAUAUUCCUAACUUGUUUUUAAUCCAACAGGCAGUAUUUUUACCUAUACUGAAGAGGCAGGAAAUAUCCAUUCUAAGUCCAUGUCCCUGUCCUGGUGUCUACUUAAGAGUUUAGCAUUUUCUGCUUCCUUAAGAAAUAUAUUGUUGAGCUGAGUGUGGUGGCGGGGACCUAUAAUCCCAGCAGCUCCUGUAAUCCCAGCUGCUUUUGGAGGCAGAGGCAAGAGGAUCACAAAUUUGAAGCCAGCUUCAGCAAUUUAGCAAGGCUCUAAGCAAUCUAGUGAGAACCUCUCCCAAAAUAAAAAAACGAAGGGUUGGGGUUGUAUCUCAGUGGUAGAGUGCUUGCCUAACACAUGUAAGACACUGGGUUUGAUCUUUAGCACCACAUAAAGGUAUCGUGUCCAUCUGCAAAAAAAAAAAAAAAAACUCAGUGGCUAAACUCCCCUGGGUUCAGUCUGGUACCAAAAAGAAAUAUGUUGGUGCAUGCCUAUAAUCCCAGCUAUGAGGAAAGCUGAGGCAGAAGGAUCAUAAAUUGGAGGCUGGGGAUAUAGUUCAGUGAUAGAACACUCCUGGGUUCCAUCCCCAGGACCACCAGAAAAAAUAAGUGAUGUAGGAUGCACCACUUAUUUUGUAAGUGUAAUCCCAACUACUUGAAGGCUAGGACAAGGGGAUUAUAUGUUUGAGACCAGCCUUGGCAACUUAGAUCCUGUCUCAAACUAAAAAAUUAUAAGAGCUGGAAAUGUAGUUCAGUGGCAGAGCACUUACUUAGCACAUGGGAGACCCUGAGUUUAAUCCCAUCAAUCUUCAGCAUGAGGGUGGGAUAUAAAAAAGGGAGAAACAGUAGCUAUUGAUAGCUGGCUGUAUUUAACACUUGGCAAAUUGACUAAUUUUAUGUGCCUCAUUUUCCUUACCUGUAAAAUACAGAGACUGGACUAGAUCACCUGACCUGCAGAUUGAUGUGAGAGCGUGUGUAUGGGUGAGUGCGCAGCGCGCUUAGCCACUGAGCCACAUCCCCAGCCCUUUUUUUGUAUUUUUAUUUAGAGACAGGGUCUUGAUGAGUUGCCUAGGGCCUUGCUAAAUUGCUGAGGCUAGCUUUGACUUCUUGAUCUUCCUGUCUCAGCCUCCUCACUUGCUGGGAUUAUUGGUUGUGGGCCACCACACCCAUCUAGAUUGAUUUUUUUUUUUAAGAUUGACUCUUACCUGGCUAAUUGACCUUAUAGGGCUGACUUUUGGGACUGGACUAGACUCUGAUGACUAUAGACUGGGAACUCUGACUACUAAUAGGUGAUGAAAUUCUUGAGGUUGUCUGUAGAUUUGCCAUAAGGAUUUAAAGCUAACAGGUGGAAGGGGGGCCUCAAGAAAAGUCUGGCUCUUGCUGGGCAGGCUAAAAAACCUUUCCUGUUAUGCCUCUUUUCCAGCAUUGCUUGGAGAACUGCCCACACUAAAGAACAUCUUCCACCUCUACCCCACCUCAGUGGACUGACCUAUGGUCAGGCCUCAAGUUUUCCUAGUUAUUGGGUUUUUAAUAAGCCAUUUUUGUGGAGCUGCACAUCUAAGGAAAGUUAAAUCUGAUUUCUUCUGAGAUGAAAGGGUUGAAGGAGGAAAGUGUAACCUCCCUUUUUUUUGGCCUCAGGUUUGAAGAUAAUAAACAUCACACUGCUUGGACUAGUUUGCUUUGGUUUUCUUUUUUGCCUUUGAAUGGAUCAUUUGCCCAUUGUUAACUCAGCCAAAAAAAAAAAAAAAUUUAAGUCACCACCAGAAUAAGGAGGAAAUCAAUUGAAUCUUUUAUGUAUUAUUUCAUUUCUAUAUUCCUGAUGUUUCAAGAGUCUAGCUAUUUACAUUAAAAAAUGAUAUCCUUAUAAACAUGAUGAGAUUCAAGCUCAAGGUUUACAGAUGGGUAUCCCAUCAAUUAGUAUGAACAAGUAAGGCAGGACAGAUUUUUGAGGUUACAUAUUGGGGUGGGAGGUAGUCUUUUCUAACCCAGUUAUUACUAACCUCUGAUGAUCCAAGGUUGUUUAGUAGCAAGAAAAUUUGCUGACUGAUUCUGGGCUCUGGCUUGACUUCUGAGUGUUUGGGGGUUGGUGACAAAGACUUUGCAACCCAAGUGUACCUGUAACUUUCCUAUCUUCACACUGCUCCAACCCCCUACUGUUUUCCCAGGCUUAGAGUAAUGGGUCUGGCCAUGAGAAUUUAAUCCGUUUUAACUUCCAUGUUAUUAUUGUAGAAUAGUAACAUUGAGGCUUAAUGUUUUGCCCCUUAGAUAACAUGCUUUGAAAUAGAUAAAAAUGUGAGGGAAUAAGCUGAAAAACUAGUAACUUUUCCUAUGUUUCUUGAGAGUAUGUCAACCUGAAAAAAAAAAAAAAAACUUGUUAACUUAUCAUCUUUAUCUUUUUUUUUCUAUUGUGUCAGUUGUUUUCUGUUUUUAAAGUUUCAACUUACGAGGGCCCAUCUUCUUUUCUGAGACAGUGUAUAUGAAGUAUCACAUAAAUGUAUGUUUUUUGUUUUGUUUUUUUAGAUAUAAUUCAUCUACAUAGAUGCUUUAAAGAAACCAAGUUUAAUCCCCAGCACCACACACACACACACACACAAAAAAAAAAAAGCAAAAAAAAAAAAAGGAAAGCAAGUUUCUGCUUGCUUACCCAUAAUUGCAGCAACUAAGGAGGCUGAGGCAGGAAGAUCAUAAGUUUGAGGCCAGCCUCAGCAACUUUGCAAGAACUUGUCUCAAAAAAUAAAAAGGACCAAGAAUAUAACUCAGUGGCAAAAUGCCCCUGGGUUCAAUCCCCAGUACAGGAAGAAGAAAAGUGAAUUUCUUAAAUGUACCCAGAACUUUGGAAGGGAAUUCAAAUUCUGCUAUUUCAUAUUUUCACAAAUCCCCUUCUUUCCCAAAUAUCCUUAUAUAAAUAAGGAAGCUGAGAUUCCAAAAGGCAAAGGGAGUAGCCUAAACUCACAGUAAGUUAAGUGGCAAAGCAGAGAGAAGAACUCAAGUUUGCCUGAUUCCAAAGCCCUUACCAAUACAUGGGUUUGCUUCUGUCUAGGUUGGCUCUUCUCAUUUUCGUGAUUGCUCUAUAACUUAAGUAGCAGGGUUCGGGAAUCUUCUGAUCCCUGGAGAGCUAUAUAUUCAACCUUUAUCCAAAUGUUAUCUAGAAGUGCUUUAUAGUAACCAUAACCAUAAGCCGUUCAGAGUCGACUUCUUUCCAUUCCUAUUAACCCAUCUUUCAUUGUCAGUCCUUCCCAAAGUUUUUAAAACUUGUUGAUCAUGAUUCACAGUUAAAAACACAAAACUUGUCAUCAUUAUGUUGCUUGCCUGUAAUCCCAGUGGCUUGGAAGGCUGAGACAGGAGGAUUGCAGGUUAAAAGCUAGCCUCAGUAAUUUAGCCAGGCUGUAAGUAACCUAGUGAGACCCUGUCUCAAAAUAAAAAAUAAAAAGGGAUGAGGAUAUAUCUCAGUGGUUAAGCACCUCUGGAUUCAAUCCUUGGUAUUAAAAGUGAAAAAAGGAGUUUACAUCCUGACUCUGUGUAAACUACACAUACAUAUAAGUGAAACAUUUUCACAAAAUGAUUCUUAUGCUUAUUGUUAGCAUCCCCACCCCCCACUGGGGAUUGAACCCAGGGGCACUUAACCACUAAGCCACAUUCCCAGCCCUUUUUUGUAUUUUAUUUAGAGACAGGGUCUCACUGAGUUGUGUAGGGCCUUGCUAAAUUGCUGAGGCUAACCUUGAACUUGAGAUCCUCCUGCUUUAGCCUCCCCAUGUUGCUGGAAUUACAGAUGUGUGCCACUAUGCUGACCUUGAUAUUUCUUGACCUAUGUCCUUUUUUAUUUUUAUUCUUAUUUUAAAUAACAUGGUACAGUGGUGUAUGCCUGUAAUCCCAACUACAUGGGAGGCUGAGGCAGGAGGAUCACAAUUUUGAGGCCAGCCUGGCAAUUUAGUGAAAGCCUGGCAAUUUAGUGAAAACCAGUCUUAGAAAAAGAGCUAGAGAUAGAAUGCUCUGGGUUCAGUCCCCAGUACUGCAAAAAUUAAAAAAAAAAAAAAAAAAACUGAUGGUAACCCAUCAACUGAUGUCAAGGUCACUUUUGUCUUACAGCCCACAGUUUGAGAAACACUGCCCUAAAGGUUUGAAGAUGAAGAACAGCUAAAGAACUGUGUUUAGUGGGAUUAUAGGUGUUCACCACCAUGCUGGGCUUGAUAUUUCUUGACCUGUAUUUUUGUUUUGUUUUUAAUAACAUAAUAACAUGGUAGUUCAGUACAGUGGUGUAUGUCUGUAAUCUCAGCAGCUCUAGAGACUGAGGCAGGAGGAUCGAAAAUUCAAGGUUAGCCUUAGCAAUUUAACAAAUUUAGCAACUCAGUGAAACCUGUCUCAAAAAAAGAAAGGGGAUAGAGUUGUGGCUCAGUGGUAGAGAGCUCUUGCCUGGCAUGUGUGAGGCACUGAAUUCAAUCCUCAGCACCACCUAAAAAUAAAAAAGUGUCCAUUA